CAGAAAUCCUCCUCAUCAAAAACAUGACUCUGAUCUGCAGCCUCAUCUGGACUCUCCUCUGCUGCUGCUUCACAGAGUCCAGAGGACAGGUCACGGUGACUCAGUCUGGAGCAGUGAGCUCUGCUCUAGGAGGCUCUGUCACCAUCAGCUGUAAGACCAAUGAAGCUGUCAUCAAUUCUGACUCUGUAGAGUGGUACCAACAGAAACCCGCAGGAGUACCUAAGCUACUCAUUUACUACACCAAAAACCGGAAAGAAUAUACUCCACUUCGUUUCAGUGGUAGUGGAUCAAACACUGACUUCACUCUGACCAUCAGUGGAGUCCAGCCUGAAGAUGCAGCAGUUUAUUACUGUAAAGCCCGACACACAAUCAGCAGUAAGAACCUGUUCACACAGUGA